CGUCCCUCCUCCAGGAAGCCUUCCCCAAACCUCCUAGUGGGAUGGCUGUGCCACCCCCCUCCACAUAUGGCCACCCUGCUUCUUCUAUGGGUUCGUGUCUGUUUGCCUCCCAUACCGGCCUGCCGGGGCCCACUGCUGGUCCGUCACAACCCGGGACCCUCACACGUGGGGUUAACUGAGCAGGACCCACCUGAACAGGACGGAAUGUGGCUGAGGGUGGGUCCCAAGGUUAAUGUUGAGAUACGGACACCGUUUCCUUGGGGAAGCAGGAUCGGUGAGCACUGUUCUGGGAGUUCCUUACCCAUCUCUUUUCACCACCAGACAUUGAAGAGAUGGUCCCUACAGAAUGUUUUGAAGUUUAAUGUGCGUGCCGAAAAGUGGACAAAUCCUACGUACAAGUCAGUGAACCUCCGUCCAGGGAGCACACACACCUAACUCCCUCGGGACCAACAAUACCACAGGCUCCCCAACCUGGGGGAUUUGGGCCCCAUCCCCAGGGACCAUUGGCCACGUCUGCAGACACUUCUGAGGGUCCCCGUUGGAGGAGGGGAUGCUGGGUGCUGGCAUCUAUCAUGUGAGGACAGGAACGUAGCGGGUGCACCCCAGAGCAAAGAGGGACCCGGCCCAAAAUAUCAAGAGCGCGAAGGUUGAGAACAUGAGCUCUGGACACAACCAGAGGACCCCUCUUCCCAACUCCGAGUUAUUUCCUCCCUCCCCCAGAGGAGGUAACUUCUGUGCUCACGUGUACAUUAAUUUUGGCUAUUUUUGAAUCUCACAUAAAUAGAACCACAGAGCAUA